GACGAACGCUGGCGGCGUGCUUAACACAUGCAAGUCGAACGGAAAGGCCCUGCUUUUGUUGGGUGCUCGAGUGGCGAACGGGUGAGUAACACGUGAGUAACCUGCCCUUGACUUUGGGAUAACUUCAGGAAACUGGGGCUAAUACCGGAUAGGAGCUCCUGCUGCAUGGUGGGGGUUGGAAAGUUUCGGCGGUUGGGGAUGGACUCGCGGCUUAUCAGCUUGUUGGUGGGGUAGUGGCUUACCAAGGCUUUGACGGGUAGCCGGCCUGAGAGGGUGACCGGCCACAUUGGGACUGAGAUACGGACCAGAAUCCUACGGGAGGCAGCAGUGGGGAAUAUUGCACAAUGGGCGGAAGCCUGAUGCAGCAACGCCGCGUGCGGGAUGACGGCCUUCGGGUUGUAAACCGAUUUCGCCUGUGACGAAGCGUGAGUGACGGUAAUGGGUAAAGAAGCACCGGCUAACUACGUG
rnacentral:rRNA from 1 species